rnacentral:rRNA from 1 species
GCCCAGCCCUAAAUUUUGAUGCUCAUCCUAUCACUAGAGCAUCCGCCAGAGCACUACGAGCACAAACGCUUAAAACUCUAAGGACUUGGCGGUGCCCCAAACCCACCUAGAGGAGCCUGUCCUAUAAUCGACAACCCACGAUAGACCCAGCCGUCUCUUGCAAGACAGCCUACAUACCGCCGUCACCAGCCCGCCUCCUGAGAGAACAACAGCGGGCACAAUAGCCACAACAUCGCUAGCAGGACAGGUCAAGGUAUAGCCUAUGAGACGGAAGAGAUGGGCUACAUUCCCUAAAAUAGGGAACUAACGAAAGGGGACAUGAAACACCCCCCGGAAGGCGGAUUUAGUAGUAAAGCGGGAUCACGCAAGCCCCCUUUAAAAAGGCCCUGGGGU